UACGUAGGCAGCGAGCGUUGUUCGGAGUUACUGGGCGUAAAGGGUGCGUAGGCGGUUGUUUAAGUUUGGUGUGAAAUCUCCCGGCUCAACUGGGAGGGUGCGCCGAAUACUGAAUGACUAGAGUGCGGGAGAGGAUAGUGGAAUUCCUGGUGAUAGCGGUGAAAUGCGUAGAUAUCAGGAGGAACACCGGUGGUGUAGACGGCUAUCUGGACCGUAAC
rnacentral:rRNA from 1 species